GGCUGUAGAAUUUGCAGUAGAUGAAGAAUGGGAGACACUAUGUGACUUCUUCAAGGUUUCUGGCAUGCUCUGGACAGCUGGAAAUGCAAAAGUCCAUUAGGAGCCCUGAGCUCUUACCGUCAUGCAGCGCCGUCUCUCCUACCGGGCUGCCAUUUGCUAACAGUUGAAGUGCCAGGACUGCCUCAAGGAUCUGACAGGAGGAAUUGAGUGUGCUGCCAAGAUAUUAAAUGAAAUUCCCCAGAAAGACAUUCAGUGCACUAAAAGAGCCUCAAAGGCAAAAAGGGAAGGAAAUGGGCAAGCUCUCUGCUAAAGAUUUCCCUGGAGAAAAACCAUGAAUAUGGGACUACUAGAAGGGAUGAAAAGUCCCUGGAGCUUGUGCUCCAGGACAGGACAAGACAGUGAGCGAUAUCUGGGAAAAAUGAAGUCUGGAAAAGAACUUUGGAACUUGUUGCAGUACCUUGAACUUUCUGUUGAGACAGCAGUUCUGAUUCUCUGCUCCCUUUCCCAUCUGACUUAGGAAAACAAGAUCUAUAAUGUACAUAAAGAACUUGGAAGAUACAGCAGCCUCAAUAAUAUGAAUACAACAGCCUCAAUGAUAUGAAACCAGAAU